rnacentral:rRNA from 1 species
UACGAAGGGUGCAAACGUUGCUCGGAAUUAUUGGGCGUAAAGCGCACGUAGGCGGCAUCGCAAGUCGGAUGUGAAAUCUUAUGGCUUAACCAUAAAAGUGCAUCCGAAACUGCAGUGCUUGAGUACUUAAGAGGAUCGCGGAAUUCCCGGUGUAGAGGUGAAAUUCGUAGAUAUCGGGAGGAACACCAGUGGCGAAGGCGGCGAUCUGGGAAGAUACUGACGCUGAGGUGCGAAAGCGUUGGGAGCAAACAGG